rnacentral:rRNA from 1 species
UACAGAGGGUGCAAGCGUUAAUCGGAAUUACUGGGCGUAAAGCGCGCGUAGGUGGUUCGUUAAGUUGGAUGUGAAAUCCCCGGGCUCAACCUGGGAACUGCAUUCAAAACUGACGAGCUAGAGUAUGGUAGAGGGUGGUGGAAUUUCCUGUGUAGCGGUGAAAUGCGUAGAUAUAGGAAGGAACACCAGUGGCGAAGGCGACCACCUGGACUGAUACUGACACUGAGGUGCGAAAGCGUGGGGAGCAAACAGGAUUAGAUACCCCCGUAGUCC